AAGUUGCACGAGAAAGCUCUUCGGAGUGAGUAGAGUGGCGCACGGGUGAGUAAUGCAUAGGAACGUACCCUUAGGUUUGGAAUAACGACGGGAAACUGUCGCUAAUACCGUAUAGACUCGAGAGAGUAAAGGUGGCGCAAGCUACCGCCCAAGGAGCGGCCUAUGUCCCAUUAGCUAGUUGGCAGGGUAAUGGCCUACCAAGGCUACGAUGGGUAGCUGGUCUGAGAGGAUGAUCAGCCACACUGGAACUGAGACACGGUCCAGACUCC
rnacentral:rRNA from 1 species